GGGGGUGUCGUAUACGGAAUAUUACCCUACGCUUGCACCGUAGUGAACGGAGUUUGACUCUCCGCAUCUCCACCA
rnacentral:tRNA from 1 species